rnacentral:tRNA from 1 species
UCCCUGGUGGCUCAGGUGGUAAAGAGUCUGCCUGCAAUGCGGAAGACCCAGGUAUGAUCCCUGGCUCGGGAA